AACGAACGCUGGCGGCAGGCUUAACACAUGCAAGUCGAACGCCCCGCAAGGGGAGUGGCAGACGGGUGAGUAACGCGUGGGAAUCUACCCAGUUCUACGGAACAACAGUUGGAAACGACUGCUAAUACCGUAUACGCCCUACGGGGGAAAGAUUUAUCGGAAUUGGAUGAGCCCGCGUAAGAUUAGCUAGUUGGUGGGGUAAUGGCCUACCAAGGCGACGAUCUUUAGCUGGUCUGAGAGGAUGAUCAGCCACACUGGGACUGAGACACGGCCCAGACUCCUACGGGAGGCAGCAGUGGGGAAUAUUGGACAAUGGGCGCAAGCCUGAUCCAGCCAUGCCGCGUGAGUGAUGAAGGCCUUAGGGUUGUAAAGCUCUUUCACCGAUGAAGAUAAUGACGGUAGUCGGAGAAGAAGCCCCGGCUAACUUCGUGCCAGCCGCCGCCGUAAUAC
rnacentral:rRNA from 1 species